UACGAAGGGGGCUAGCGUUGUUCGGAAUUACUGGGCGUAAAGGGCGCGUAGGCGGCCUGUUAAGUCGGACGUGAAAUCCCCGGGCUCAACCCGGGAACUGCGUCCGAUACUGGCAGGCUUGAAUCCGGGAGAGGGAUGUGGAAUUCCAGGUGUAGCGGUGAAAUGCGUAGAUAUCUGGAGGAACACCGGUGGCGAAGGCGGCAUCCUGGACCGGUAUUGACGCUGAGGCGCGAAAGCCAGGGGAGCAAACGGG
rnacentral:rRNA from 1 species